CAUUGAUUCACUUGCUCUCACUGGUGAAUUGGGUUUCCCUGAGCUGCAGAUGAUGGCUUCACAGCAAAACCAGCAGCAACGCAAGCAAACUCUCACCCUGCCACCGGCACUGAGCAAUGCCACUUCAGAACCGGCACCGACCCCAGAAGCAGUACCAGAACCAUGUCCAGCAACAGUCGAAGAACCGGAAAAUUCACCUCAGGAAGAAGAGGGGCCACAGGAGAAGUAUAAGCAGCCACUGAACCAGCCUCUUGGACCAGCUCCAGAACUAGAACCAGAACCAGUACUAUGCCCAGAACCAGAAUCAAAUCCACCAGACGUUAAAGAAAUAGAAUAUCUACAACCGGACCACCAGCAAUACAAACAUCCACCAACCCUACCCCCGGCACCAGGAAUAGAAACAUCAAAGGAAUAUCAGCAAGCAGAACCGGAACCGGAACCAGAACCGGGACGAUGCCCACCACCAAUCAGUGAACCAGAAGGUCCCCCUUUUGUGCAACCAUCUUCACCUGUGGAAGAGCAGCAACAGAAACAACCACAUCAUUGGCCGCCAAAGCGGAAGUAGCUUCCAGAUACCAAAGGGAAACCAUGAUAUGAAAAGCAAGACCCAGUGCUUGACACAGUUAACCUCAUAUUCUCAUCUGCUGUGGGUUUAGGUGGUUUUGCUGUAGAGAUUUCAGAGUUUUGUCUGGUAUAUGUUAGGGCCUGUUAAAUAUACUCCAUUAGUAUCCUUAAACUGAUUCCAUGCAUGGGACAGAUCCUCUUGAAAUCACUGGAACUCUACUGAUUCACACCAGCUGAGGAUCAGGCCCUUCUUGUCUAUCGCUCGUCUAUAAGAGAUGUAGGUGCAGGCUGUAGGUGCUAUGAAGUUCUGAGCGUAUGCUUUCACUAUCGGGUCCCUGCUUUUGAAACCCAUCCAUGAGAAAGAGUGAGAACUGGGCUGUCUAUACUGAUUUUUACCGCCACAACCCUAUUAAUAGAUCCCAAGGGCCAUUGUGAUCUUCAUGAACUCCACUCUGCUAAUAACUUCCAGCCAGAAGGGGCCACUGUGAUCUUCAUGAACUCCACUCUGCUAAUAACUUCCAGCCUCAGGAAAAAGGAGUGUCUAGAUUCAGUGUGUAUUAACUGGAGAAUGACGAGGAUCAGUUAAAAGGCUUGAACAGGGAGAGAACAGUCUAUAAGUUAGGAGUGUUUCACUCUAAUGCAUGAUGGGGUUGACUUUUCACCUUUGAGGAACUAAAAUCCCUGGGGCGUAGAUAGACACUAACCAAUAUGCACUGUGGAAUGUCAUAUGCUGGGAUAAUUGUAUCAUUAAAUGGCAUGGUCCACUAUUUGAUUGUGCUCUGCUCUCUAGCUGCAUGUGUGACACAAUAAAAUCUACCAUUCCUGGAUGGUCA